UACGUAGGGUGCAAGCGUUGUCCGGAAUUAUUGGGCGUAAAGAGCUCGUAGGCGGUUUGUCGCGUCUGCUGUGAAAACUCGGGGCUUAACCCCGGGCCUUCAGUGGGUACGGGCAGACUAGAGUGCGGUAGGGGAGACUGGAAUUCCUGGUGUAGCGGUGAAAUGCGCAGAUAUCAGGAGGAACACCGGUGGCGAAGGCGGGUCUCUGGGCCGUAACUGACGCUGAGGAGCGAAAGCGUGGGGAGCGAACAGG
rnacentral:rRNA from 1 species